rnacentral:lncRNA from 1 species
AUGAGCCAGAAAGUGUGGAGGUCUGGAAGGAGUCCCCACCGGUUCCCUCCUGCUCAAGCCCCAAGGAGGGCGAAGGAGCCCAGUGGAUGCGCCCCCCACGGAUGCUGCCCAGCCUGUGGGACCCGUGGAACUGCAGUGGCGUUGCCAGUGCCUCUGUUUCUGCAUCUGUACCAUGGGCCCGGUCUGUGCCACCGCUUCACAGGGGAGAAGAUCAAGCGAUACCCUCCACACCGUACUGUGAUUCCAUUUCCCUCCCCUAUGAUGGUGAGAUACGCUACAUAUCAGGGUUUCCUUUUCUGCUUUGGCUGCCAGGAAGCUCAAGGCUGAAGAGGCCUAGAUUUGUAAUAUAAUUACCGUCCCG